rnacentral:misc_RNA from 1 species
ACCAGAACCCAUGUAACUGCUGCCACCCAUGCCACGAUUGGAGUACAUUGAUGAAUAAGACCUACCACCAACAUCACUGCCACGGGACAUGUAAUCACCACCAUAGUUUGAUGGGUGGUACAUACUACCAACAUCACUGCCACCAUAAGAACCUCCAUAACCCAUGCCCGGACGGCUGCUAUAUAGCCCAUGUGAAUCCUGACCGGAAAUUGAACUUCUGCUGCCACCAUAUCCUACAUUGGGUCUGCUGAUUCUAUCACCAUAUGCCUCCCCGUAUUGAGAAGAACCAGGGCCAAGUUCGUAGUCCAAUCGAGCCCUUGAAUGGCGAGCACCAGCAUCAGCAUAACGUGGAGGAACAUCAUCCAUUGAUGAAUAUGGACGUUUUGACCCAGAAAUAGAGUCAUAAUCACGCGCACGUCCUUCACGGUAAUUUGGAGGAUGCCUCUCAAACCUUUGACCAUAGCCAUCAUCUACAUAUGCUCUCCUUGCUGAAGUACGAGAUGUGCCUCUAGGAAAAUCUGAAUAGCCAGAGCCACGUGAGGAGUAAUCAUCUCUAUAGGAAGAUGGCCGUCUCUCUGGAAUGGCCCUAGACCCAUAAUCCACAGGAGCUCUGCUCCUUGGAGGAGGAAGUUCAUCACGCUGACUAUAUUCCCUCUUUAAGCUACUCUUCGGGUAAGAUGAAGCGGGUGCUCUUCUAUCAUAGGACCUGGAAGGAGGCGGCAAAGGCCUGCCUCUUGCAGGCAUUGACAUCACAGGUAGGCGUCUAUCUCUCAAUCCUAUAGGCCUCUUUACACUGGCUGGUGCAGCACGACUUGCAAUUCCUCUUGUUGGACGAACCCAUGGACCUCUAGCAACUCUACCCCCAUACCAGGCUCGGAAAUCUGCACGACUUGCAUGCUUUCCUUUUCCUCUCUGAAGUGGUCUUGAUAACCGGGCCCUAACUUUAGCCUUGUUUUCUCCUUCACCCAACUCUGCAUUAUUAAUGCUUUUAGCACAAGUAACUGCAGCAUCAUGAGAAUCAAAUGUCACAAAACCAAAGUCCUUUCUCUUGGCAGAUGGCAUAUUCCGGGCAAGCUCAAUCUUUUCAAUCUCCCCAUAUUUCUUUAGAAGCUCUCUAACAAGAUCCUCAUCCCAUGAAGCAGGCAGACCAUCAAUAAAUACAGUCCUCACCUGUGCCAUGAUUUCAUCACCAGGGUCAAUGAAUGAAUCUGCAAACGAAAUCUUUGCAGGCCUAUCAACCCCAAAUAAAACAUCUCUCUUCUGAAGACGCUUAAAAGCAUCCAU